rnacentral:rRNA from 1 species
UUAAUUGAAGAGUUUGAUCAUGGCUCAGAUUGAACGCUGGCGGCAGGCCUAACACAUGCAAGUCGAACGGUAACAGGGAGCAGCUUGCUGCUCUGCUGACGAGUGGCGGACGGGUGAGUAAUGUCUGGGAAACUGCCUGAUGGAGGGGGAUAACUACUGGAAACGGUAGCUAAUACCGCAUAACGUCUACGGACCAAAGUGGGGGACCUUCGGGCCUCAUGCCAUCAGAUGUGCCCAGAUGGGAUUAGCUAGUAGGUGGGGUAACGGCUCACCUAGGCGACGAUCCCUAGCUGGUCUGAGAGGAUGACCAGCCACACUGGAACUGAGACACGGUCCAGACUCCUACGGGAGGCAGCAGUGGGGAAUAUUGCACAAUGGGCGCAAGCCUGAUGCAGCCAUGCCGCGUGUAUGAAGAAGGCCUUCGGGUUGUAAAGUACUUUCAGCGGGGAGGAAG